CCCCUCGGGAAAGCCUUCUUCCCCCUCUGGAAAGCCCUCUUCCCCCUCGGGAAAGCCUUCUUCGGAGGGUGAGUAGAGUGGCGGACGGGUGAGUAACGCGUGGGUAACCUGCCUCUAAGUUGGGGAUAACACUUCUAACGAGGUGCUAAUACCGAAUGACGAGAUGGAGCGCAUGCUUUCAUCUUUAAAGGUGGCCUCUGCCUGCAAGCUGCCGCUUGGAGAUGGGCCCGCGUCGUAUUAGCUAGUUGGUAGGGUAACGGCCUACCAAGGCGAUGAUGCGUAGCCGGCCUUAGAGGGUGAUCGGCCACACUGGAACUGAGACAAGGUCCAGUCCCCUACGGGGGCCAGCAGUCUAGAAAUUUGCACAAUCAACGAAAGUUGGAUGCAGCGACGCCACGUGGAGGAUGAAGCCCUUCGGGGUGUAAACUCCUGUUUGGA
rnacentral:rRNA from 1 species